rnacentral:lncRNA from 1 species
ACGGACAGCGUCCUUUCCAGGUAAGAGCACUGAGCAGGGUGGGGCUGGGGUGCAGUCCUUCUAUCCCCAUCAUCUCCUCGGAGUUAACCCUGAAAGUAUCUGCUCUGGGGAUUUCAGGGAGAUUGGAGUAGGGGGAGUGGUGGGCUUGGCUCAGAGCAGAGCAUCAUGGAACACACAGCCCCCUGCCAGGUGCCCCAUCCUGCCUGGGGACAAGUGAGUGGACACAGCCGUGGAAGUGACUCAGGUGAGCAGAUCUGCCUGCCUCAGCACAGCCGCCCCACACAGGACCCUCAGCCGCGUCUCAGCCCUGCUCUGCUCAUCUCUCCCCUCCAGGAAUGUUGAGGACCAAAAUGUUAUUUACACCCACACCUAUUCUUCUGAAAAUGUGCAUUUUAAAGAAGGCCCUGGGGAAGGUGAUGACAAAAUCCCAAUACUGCAUCUCCAGUGGUGGCGGUCAGGUCCUCACAUCUGAGAAAUGGGCUCUGUGGCAUGGGGGCGGGAGACUUCUGUCCAUAUCUCAAGGACUGAACUCUAACCUUUUUUUCUUGCUCAAAUCCCUGUCUAAGAAGCCUGGGGAAAGUCACCCUUACAAGCCAUAAAACUGUGUUAAACGGGUCUCUUUGGCCCAGUAUAUCAUGGCCUACUUUCCAACCUGACUCUGGCCUGGCCUCACAUGACAGACAGCAGAGCCCCUUAUCUUAACUCAAGCAUUCUUUUCUACUGACUCCAAGGCUUUAGACAAAGCUGAACUCUUUCAAUCAACUGCCAAGAAAGAAUCUCUAAACCCACCUAUGACUUGUAAGUCCCCACUUCAAGAUGUCCGACCUUUGAAGACAGAUAUACACCAAACCAAUGUGUAUCUCCCAUGUACUGAUUUAUGAUUUUACCUGCAAUUCCUGUCUUCCUAAAACGUAUAAAACCAAGCUGUAACCUG